CUAAAACCGAACUGAAUAUAUUUUUUUGUUUUACACUAAAGAUUGUUUUAUGAAGUGAGCCAAUAUUUUAGAAGUAAAUGAAAUAUUUAUACGAAUUCUGUAUUUAAAGAUUGUUGUAUUUAAAAUAUCAGGUGAGCCAAUAUUUUAGAAGUAAAUGAAAUAUUUAUUCGAAUUCUGUAUGGUGGUUGUGAGUUUCAGAGUAUAAUAUUUUUAUCAGUGCAACAAAAAAUGAUUUAUUCAUCUUUAAGGUACAAAAUUAGCAAAUCAGUUUUCAAGUUUAAAAUUUUCUAUAAAUAUUUUUUUCUUCAGUGUCUUCCACAUUAAAAACAUCACAUUUUAUCAUAACGUUAUUAAUUUUAUUGUUUUCAUAUUUUUUCUAAAUAAACUUGUUUUUGUUCUA